ACGGUUGAGAGGGGGUUGACGGGAGAACGUCAAACCGCAGUAGGUCGGUGGCAUCCGGAGUUGCGAGGAAACAGCGCGUGGUGGAGAAGCGGCGGAAGAAACGGAAUUGGAAGGAGUUUGUUUGGACCGUGUUCAUUAUUAGUGCGCAUUCUUCAUUAUCUUAAUUAUUUCUUUCUUACCGCCUUUCGUCUUUUAGUCUAUCGUUGAUCUUUCAGCUUUCCGCCAUUGCAUGCAUGCAGUGGAAAAGUCUAAAGAGUAGCGUGGGCACUAAACACUGCACAAAUAAACAGCCAUAAAUAUUUUUUUUAUAUAUAAAUUAUUAUUGCUGAAAUCUGGCCUGACCACGAGCUAGUGAUGGUGGUAAAGCUCCUAAUUAGAUUAACCACAUUAUCUUGAGCCCGCUUCUGAUCUCCGAGUUGGAGAAAGAAAAGUUGGAGAUUGCUACGCUCGACGUGAUCCUCCGAUGUCUAAAUUGGAUAGAGAUCUUAGAGAAAAAUCUUUCAAUAAUAGAUUAGACCUCAGAUUAAUAUAUUUGGAGGCCCUUUGGGCAGCCUUAUUUAUUGGUGCAAUUCGUUGAAAUUCACAAAAAUUUAUCAAUGAUUUAUUAGAAGAGAAUCUCAAUUGAUCUCGAAUCUCAGCUAUUUAAUUUGCAAUGCUAACGGCUAAGAUCAUUAAGUAGUAGGUUGAGCUAUGGCAUUUUAUUGGACGGUUUUUAACCACCUCCGGAAUGGUGGGCUAUGUAAUAAGCUUUGGUAGGUUGAUUUUGAUUAGAUUAGUUGGGGCCAAAUUUAGCCUGAUUUAGGUAGGAUGGUGGUCAUGUGGCAGACACUUAUUGGCCGGCUUUAAUUUAGACAUAACAUAAAAAAUAAUUUGCUUAUAUACAAAAAUAAAUAAGGGUUUAGCUUGGUUUGUUUUUAAUAGAUAGGUGGGGAACUUAUUUCAUGAACUCUACUUC
rnacentral:lncRNA from 1 species